rnacentral:rRNA from 1 species
UACGUAGGUGGCAAGCGUUGUCCGGAAUUAUUGGGCGUAAAGCGCGCGCAGGUGGUUCCUUAAGUCUGAUGUGAAAGCCCACGGCUCAACCGUGGAGGGUCAUUGGAAACUGGGAACUUGAGUGCAGAAGAGGAAAGUGGAAUUCCAAGUGUAGCGGUGAAAUGCGUAGAGAUUUGGAGGAACACCAGUGGCGAAGGCGACUUUCUGGUCUGUAACUGACACUGAGGCGCGAAAGCGUGGGGAGCAAACAGG